rnacentral:rRNA from 1 species
CCUGGUUUAUCCUACCAGUAGUCAUAUGCUUGUCUCAAAUAUUAAGCCAUGCAUGUUUAAGUAUGAACUAAUUCAAACUGUGAAACUACGGAUGGCUCAUUAAAUCAGUUAUAGUUUCUUUGAUGGUACCCUACUACUCGGAUAACCCUAGUAAUUCUAGAGCUAAUACAUGCACCAACUCCUGACUCUUUGGAAGGGAUGCAUUUAUUAGAUAAAAUGUUGGUACGGGCUUGCCCGCUUCUCUGGUGAAUCAUGAUAACUCGACGGAUCGCACAACCCUUGUGUUGGCAAUGCUUCAUUCAAAUUUUUUCCCUAUCAACUUUCGAUGGUAGGAUAGAGGCCUACCAUGGUGGUGAUGGGUGAUGGAGAAUUAGGGUUCGAUUCCGGAGAGGGAGCCUGAGAAACAUCUACCACAUCCAAGGAAGGCAGCAGGCAUGCAAAUUACCCAAUCCUGACAUGGGGAGGUAGUGACAAUAAAUAACAAUAUUGGGCUCAUCGAGUCUGGUAAUUGGAAUGAGUACAAUAUAAAUCCCUUAAUGAGGAUCCAUUGGAGGGAAAGUCUGGUGCAAGUAGCCGUGGUAAUUCCAACUCCAAUAGUGUAUAUUUAAGUUUUUGCAGUUAAAAAUCUCGUAGUUGGAUCUUGGGUCGUAAAGGUUGGUCAACCUACUCAGUGUGCACCUGCCCUUCUGUCACAUUUUCCGGUGGUGUGCUCCUAGCAUUAAUUGGCUGGGUCACGGUUAUGGCGUUGUUACUUUGAAAAAAUUAGAGUUCUCAAAGAAAGCUUAUUCUCUUAAUCCAUUAGCAUGGAAUAACACGAUAGGAUUCUGGUCCUAUUGUUUUGGCCUUCGGGACUAGAGUAAUGAUUAAUAGGGACUGUCGGGGGCAUUCGUAUUUCAUUGUUCGAGGUGAAAUUCUUGGAUUUGUGAAAUAUGAAACACUGCGAAAGAAUUUGCCAAGGAUGUUUUCAUUAAUCAAGAAUGAAAGUUAGGGGCUUGAAGAUGAUCAGAUAUCGUCCUAGUCUCAACCAUAAACGAUGCCAACCAAGGAUCGGUGGAUGUUGCUCUAAGGACUCUACCAGCACCUUCUGAGAAAUUAGAGUUUUUGAGUUCUGGGGGGAGUAUGGUCGCAAGGCUAAAACUUAAAGGAAUUGACGGAAGGGCACCACUAGGAGUGGAUCCUAUGGCUUAAUUUGACUCAACACGGGAAAAAUUACCAGGUCUAGACUAAUUAAGGAUUGACAGAUUGAGAUCUCUUUCUUGCUUCUAUGGGUAGUGGUGCAUGGCCUUUCUUAGUUGGUGGAACGAUUUGUCUGGUUAAUUCCGUUAACGAAUGAGACCUCAGUCUGUUAACUAGCUAUGUGGAGGUUCCCCUUCCCAGCCAGGUUCUUAGAGGGACUAUGGCCAUUUAGGCCAUGGAAGUUUGAGGCAAUAACAAGUUUGUGAUUCCCUUUGAUGUUCUAGGCUGCACGCGCACUACACUAAUGCAGUCAAUGAGUUUUUCUCCCUUGUUUGAGAGGAUCGAGAAAUCUUCUCAAAUUUCAUCGUGAUGGGGAUAGACCAUUGCAAUUAUUGGUCUUCAACAAGGAAUUCUGAGUAAGCAUGUGUCAUCAACUCGUGUUGAUCCCAAGGACACCUUGAUGCAUUGUUCAGAAGGUUGGAGUGUUUAUUGUCCCCUCUUCUUUUUUUUGUUGCAGUUGUUUCAAGCCCAUGUCAGGAGCUCUCUUUUCUCUCGGUUGAACCCACUUCGUGGACCGAAAGUUGAGAAAGGAGGAGGGAGUGGGGUUGGGGCACGUUCUCACC